GAUAAACGCUGGCGGCGCACAUAAGACAUGCAAGUCGAACGGACUUAACUCAUUCUUUUAGAUUGAGAGCGGUUAGUGGCGGACUGGUGAGUAACACGUAAGCAACCUGCCUAUCAGAGGGGAAUAACAGUGAGAAAUCAUUGCUAAUACCGCAUAUGCUCACGGCAUCGCAUGAUGCAGUGAGGAAAGGAGCAAUCCGCUGAUAGAUGGGCUUGCGUCUGAUUAGUUAGUUGGUGGGGUAACGGCCUACCAAGACUACGAUCAGUAGCCGGACUGAGAGGUUGAACGGCCACAUUGGGACUGAGAUACGGCCCAGACUCCUACGGGAGGCAGCAGUCGGGAAUAUUGCGCAAUGGAGGAAACUCUGACGCAGUGACGCCGCGUAUAGGAAGAAGGUUUUCGGAUUGUAAACUAUUGUCGUUAGGGAAGAUAAAGGACUGUACCUAAGGAGGAAGCCCCGGCUAACUAUGUGCCAGCAGCCGCCGUAAUAC
rnacentral:rRNA from 1 species